rnacentral:lncRNA from 1 species
CUCCGCUUCGCAUUCUCCCCAGAACCUCGCUCCACCUCGGAUGCGCUUGAGGUGGGCAUAGGAAUUUGCUUCGAAGCCUGUAACGGAAAAGAAGACGGGAAUGGAGGGCUUACAGGGAAGAGAUUUCACAGGUUCUAGAUGAAUAAACUCAACCCAGACAGAUGCUUUCAGGCUUGCCAGCCAGCCUGUCCCAGCUCUCCUCCCAGCUCUGCGUCUCUCCAGCUUCCUUCCUAAAUCAC